rnacentral:rRNA from 1 species
UAGGGAAUCUUCCGCAAUGGGCGAAAGCCUGACGGAGCAACGCCGCGUGAGUGAUGAAGGUCUUCGGAUCGUAAAACUCUGUUAUUAGGGAAGAACAAAUGUGUAAGUAACUAUGCACGUCUUGACGGUACCUAAUCAGAAAGCCACGGCUAACUACGUGCCAGCAGCCGCGGUAAUACGUAGGUGGCAAGCGUUAUCCGGAAUUAUUGGGCGUAAAGCGCGCGUAGGCGGUUUUUUAAGUCUGAUGUGAAAGCCCACGGCUCAACCGUGGAGGGUCAUUGGAAACUGGAAAACUUGAGUGCAGAAGAGGAAAGUGGAAUUCCGUGUGUAGCGGUGAAAUGCGCAGAGAUAUGGAGGAACACCAGUGGCGAAGGCGACUUUCUGGUCUGUAACUGACGCUGAUGUGCGAAAGCGUGGGGAUCAAACAGG